AACCUAUUAACCCUCUCCACCUCCCCCGCCAACCUCCCCACUACCCUUGCCGGCCUCUACUCUCUAAGUCCAUGAGUUCAAUUGUUUUGAUUUUUAGAUCCCACAAAUAAGUGAGAACAUGUGAUGUUUGUCUUUCUGUGCCUGGCUUAUUUCACUUAACAUAAUGACCUCCAGUUCCAUCCAUGUUGUUGCAACAUAGAUCUUACAUUUUUUAGCAUAAUUUUUCUCAAAGAAAAAGAAUGACUUAGUAGAGAUUAUUUAAAUAACAAAUUGGUAAAAUCUAUUAAAAGUGGGACUUUAAGAUUGUAUUAGAAAAAUCCUUUGUUUACAUAAUGCUUAAAAUUCCUGAACAAGUAUAAAAUACAGUCUAUCACCCUGGUCUAGUUCAUAAACAUUUUUGAUAACUUACCAUGUCUGUCUAAUGUUCAGAAUGCUUCAAAUAUUUGUCAUUAUAUUGACAAAAUAUCUGGAUAAUUGACAGAUUUUUUAAUGUUCCACCUGCUUGUCUCAUGUAGACACAGCUCAUAUCUAUUUCCCUCUGCAAAAAUAUAUUCUUGUCCAACUUACCUGUCAGGCUCUUUUAUGAUUAUGAAGAAUACCUUGCAAGAAGCUGAUGGAUUCCCUUUUUAUCCCCUAAAUCAUCUUGAGCUGUCACAUUGGAGCUGACACACUUUCAUUAUCAUAAAUACACACAAUACACCUCUUUACAAUUUAGUAACAAAUGGCUAAAUGUAUUUUUAAAACAUUUUAAUUGUGUAGAAAGCUAUAUCUGGUGCAUGUUUUUCUUUUUCAUGUUGUAAAAUCCAGUGAUUAACUGCCAUCUUUUAAUAUUGGUGCGGUGAUGAUCAUAAUAUCAAAAGCAUUCUGGCAUUAUGAAUUCAUAGUCAAAUGGUGACACCAACCAGAUGAGAUGAUGGUGUACCAGGCUCGAUGACAGUUCUAUCUCAGUUUAUCAUCUUAACUAAAAAAUAAUCCUAUCUAACUUGAAAUCCACAGCAGCUAUAAGUAGAAAAUAAAUCCAAACCACAGCUCAGACUUGUAACCUAACAGCUAUCAUAAAUAAUCAGAGCCUAUUUGAAGGUGGAAGAUGGGACAUUAGAAGCUAUUUACACUACUAGAGUGAUGCCAUCGAUCAGUAGCGGCAACCCGUAGAUAAGGCUCCUAUGAUGUCAUGGUUAUUUAUGAUGGGCAUUGACAGUAAAGCUACUACGGAAUUUUCUCCUCAGACAGCUUCAUUCAUUUUUGUUUGUGAUGCAUUUUGUUAUUAAAGAAGCAAUCAAUAGCAAAAAUCGUGGUGAUAAAAGUAUUACUUGUUAAAUAUGUGAAAAAUGUGCAUGUAUGUAAGAAUGUGGGACAAAAGAUGAAGAAUUUAAAAAUUCACUGGCAGUGUUUACGUGUUCCAGCUACAAAUACAUAAUAGAUUCAUUUCACAUGUCUUGGGCUUUCAAAUGUGGCCCACUUGUUCUUCCUCUUACAUCCUAUUCUCUUGUUAGAAAGCAGAGUUAAAAUGUUGUGGUGCCCUCCCACUUCCCCCCACAUCAUAUAUUUGACUCACUUUAGACAAUAUAAAAUUUAAUUAGAGAAAUCACAUGUGAUAAAGACAAACACCCAUUACUUUGUACAUAACCCAUCUAUAUGAGAGCAAAUUUGGUGAUUUCAGUUUAGUUUUUUUUUAAAUGUCAUUUUUUACUUGUUUUGUUUCCCCCCAUCCUGUAGCUCAUCUUCUAUUACUGAAAAUAUUCACUAGACCAGUGCUUCUCAUACCUUAAUAUACACACACAUCAGCUGGGAAUCUUGUUAAAAUGCAGUUUCUGUCGCAGUAGUUCCGGGAAGGGCCUGAAAUCCAACAUUUCUGAUAAGCACCCAGGUGACUCAAUGACAGUCCAGGGAUGCUGGUCCAGGGAUCACACUUUUAGCAGCAAGACACUAGGUAAGGUGGUUAUUUCCAUACAUUGCAGUCUUCCCUUCAAAUCAUUUGCCUGUAUUUAAAAUGGAUGUUUUUCUCAUUGGUGUAGAGCAGUGGUUCUCAAACUUUAGCUGUAGAGAGCCAUUUGGAGUGGUUGUUUAAACAGAUGUCUGUGCCCCAUCCCCGAGUUUCUGAUUCAAUAAGUCUGGGGUGAGCCCAAGAAUUUGCACUUCUAAAAAGUUCCCAAAUGACCACAUUUUUGAAAACCCCUGGUGUGGAGUCCUAAUUUAACAUUCACAUGACACUUGAAGCCCUUAUGUAAUGCUGGCAAGGUGUCCAGUGGGUAGUGGUGUUGGUGUUUAGUUUUGGGAUCCAGCCUUGAAAAUAAGAAGAGAUCAAAUUGGGGAGGGAUGUCAACCAAGCAACUGGCCAAACGAAAAUUCCCCCAUCUCCCUAAUGUUUAUUGUGGGAUAAGAGUCUGUAGAAACACCUCAAUAAUCCUUUUUUUUUUUUUUUUUUAAAUAAAAAAGAAACAUUUUCCACAGCCAUCUGGUUUCUAUGUAAAUGUAUGCAGUGACUCUGGAGCCAUCCAAAUCCCAGUACGCAUCUCACUUGCUCACUGACUCUUUUUUGGAGAAUCAGAAGAAGAAUCAAAAGCCUCUUUGAGGAUUACAGAAAAGGAAUUCCACAUGUGUUAGUGUGUGCAUGUAUAGGCAAUUUAUUUUAGAGAAAAGCUCCACUAAAAUCAAAUGAAUAUAAUCUAAACAUGCUUUUAAAAGAUUAAAAUAAAAAGAGAGAUGUAUCUGGAAAGCCCUUUGAAUUUUUAUAGUAGGGUCAAUUUAUGUGGUUCAUCCUAUGUAUUUUGAGAUCAAUCUUCAGUGGGACUUACAAUAAAUGAUGUGUUUAAGAUUUCUAUAGUCUUCCAGUGUGUUAUGACACUUAUGAAACUAUAAGAAACACUCACAGUAAGCUAUUCCUGCCUUCUAUUAUCAUUCUACUAUAUAUUGUUUUCAAGUUUUUAUUAUAUAAAUCCUCUUUAUUGCUUUUUCAUGGGGAUGAUAAUUAACACUUUUAUGGCUGUUGUGUAUUACAAGUAUCUUUAUAUAUAACAUUAGAGUUCAUAUUCAAAACCACUGUAUUAGGUAGGUAUGGUUCCCAGUCUUUAGGUGAGAAAAAACUAGGUUCAGAGAGUCAAAACCCAGACAAUCAUUAAUUCCUAAUCACCCUUAAAAAUUCCACCUGUAGGCUGGGUGUGGUGGCUUAUGCCUGAAAUCCCAGCACUUAGGGAGGCCAAGGUGUCAAGUACAACAAUUCUCUAUCUUAUAAGCGAACAGGAGGUUGACCUUGUUUUCCCAUACAACUGAAGUUGGGAGCGAGGCCCUGUAGUCCUAACAUUUUCAUUUAGUAGGUGGACAUUACUGAAAAAAAGCUACUAGACACUAGUAGAAAAAGCUGCAUCAGCUUUUUCUACAACAUUUAAUUCAUAUUGCAUUCAGUGAUCCAAUAAUUUUUGUUCCUGCACACUAUACAUUCAUAGACAUUGGUUAAAUGCCUAUCAAAUUUAAGUAUAUUUUAACAAACUAAUAGCUUCCUUUUCCAUAAUAGAAUGUUUUAAAACACUCACAUGGUGCAGAAUAAUUUAGUUCAGUUAUAUGAUGACAAGACUAAACAAACUUUCUCUGGAGUUCUGGGUUUUUCAUUUCGUUACUUUGCACUGAGCAAGCAAAUAGAGAUGAGCUAUGAAAUUUUAGGACUUUGCCUUGAAACACGAUCUAGUUGACUUAUAAAAUCUGAGAUGUUGACAAAAUGUGCAGUCAAUAUCCAAAUAAAUGCAGUUACUUCAUUUUAUGUCAACGGAGAAGGUGAAAAGUGCAACUUAACUGGCUUGCCCUGUUGACACACACCAUUGGUGUGGCCCUUAUUGUGCCAUGUUAUCUCUGCCCUAGGCUGGCUUCUAAGCCUUUUAUGGCUCAUCUUUUUCAUAUUGCUAUGUCUAGUGCCUAGCCCAGUGGCAGGCACACAGGGUUGUUGAAUUUAGUGCUACACAUUAUGGAAGCUGAAAUGUUUGUUUUGACCCUUUGGUUUGUAUUUCUUCUUCGUAGAAAUCAACGCAACUUCAUGGAUCUUUAUCUUUUAAUAGUUUACAUGAAGUAUCUCACAUCUGGCAACUAUCACCCCCGACCCAAUCAUAAAUAACAUUCAAAGUUAUUUAACUUCCUUUAUUAAAGGGGAGCUGAAAGGAGCAGCAGACUUUGUUGGCCAACUUCUAGAAAGGAAAUAAAGGCCAUUCAGACGUCAGAAGAUUGUAUAUGUUAGUUGAUACAGUGCAUUCAGUGUUCUUAAAGGAUCAAACACCAAGUUAGUAUUGAACUCAAUUUUCCAUCUUCUUCAACAGUGUCUAAGUUAAGAAUCAAAGUUUGUUGGUGUUAAGAUGCUUUAAAGUAGAAUGUCUUGGGGCUUCACAUACCCUUCAGACACAUUUAUCCUAAGCUAAAUUUACCCUUUAUGAAGGGGACAACUUGAACUAUUUAAUGCACCUUAAAAAGUGGUGGUGAGAGGUAGAUACUUUUCAGUUGUUAUGUCAUGGCCUUUAUUCAGUAUUUCUGAAUCCUCUUACAGAUAGAAACACUUGCAAACAUUCAUCGGGAAUUUGGCUAGCAGAAUAGUAACCCACCAGCCAAAGCCCACCUCAUCCAGUUUCCAGUGGUUGGUUGCUAGAAAGAUAUUCCAGUGACUGUCCGAAAGCAAAAACAAGCGGACCCGUAGCUGUGCUCCUGUUCUGUGAAUGGUGUGCUCCGCAGUGUCCACCUCGGGGUGCUUCUGUGCACCUCUGGGCCCAAAGCUCAGUGAAAACUUUUCACUAUUCAUAAGGGGGUUCUCAAACCCAUGGUAGGUUAGACUUCAAGAUCUGGUUUUGAUCAUCCUAGAUUUAGUACUCUGCUGCCUGGAAAAUAUGAGCUGUGAGUAGUGUGAAGAGCUGUUACUGUAGGACCCACAGUUUGCAAGGUAACUUCAAUCUGUACCAGGUGUGAUUUGAUUUUGCUGAGAUGAGGGAGUUGGCAGAGAAGGGAGGGGGGUGGUAGGGAAGAGGCUGUGGAAAUACCCUCAGUAAAAAGUACCCAGAGUUGAAUCUUCUAGCUGUCAGAACAAGUUCUUCCUGGCAAACUGCGUUAACGGCAUUAGCCCCAGCCCACUGUCCUCAGUCUCUUCCUGCACUUGUAGGAGGAAAGUUGGUUCUAAGUUUCUGUUAUGCUCAGUAAUGAGACAGAAUAAGGUGACACGGAAGACAGUGAACCAGAGGAGGGAGAAUCCGAGGAUCUGCACCGAGUCCCUUUCUUCUAGUCAUUAGCUGGGACUUUGGCACGUUGCCGAAAUUCUCAGAAGGUCAGUUUGUUCCUUUGUCAAAUAAUAAUUAAAUCUUCCCUCUACCCAGAGAGUUUCCUAAAUGAACUUUUGAAAGAUAUUGUCUAUAAAAAUAUUUCAAGACCUGUAAAAAAUGUUUUUGACAAGACAGAUGUGAAAGUAUGCAGCAGAGCAUGUGUGUUUGAAAUCCUCCAGCCAUGAAGAUGAUUUUCUUAAAGGAGAAGUGUGUAUCUCCCGUUCUCAUACUCUGACUAUCCCUAUACUUCUGACAACUUCUAGGCGUUGGUUUCUGUGAACACACCUUGGUCACUACACGAGAGUGUGCUUGGUUUCCUCAUCAGUAAACUGGGGACAAUAAUACCCACCUCCCAGGGUUAUCGUGAGGAUGAAACAAAGCAACCUGUGUGAGCACAGAGCACUAUAGGAGUUCGCUGAAUGUUAGUUCCUCACUCUUUCCUCUCCACCCCCAUGCCCCUACUCUGGUGAAAUAAAAUCCUUCUUGUAUAACUCAGGAAGCCCCAGGAACACAUUCCUGCAAGCCAUGGAGGAAAGAAAUACUUCCCUGUGUCCUUUUGGAGAGAGCUGGGCUUCGGCUGGGCUGAUGUCAUAGCUAUGCUCCUGGCUGCCUUUUAGUCAGAAGAGAUGUUAGUGUGCUGAAAAAUAGCCAAGGAGGCUUUUUUCCUCUGCAUGGGAAAGAAGACAUUUUUGUCCAUCCUCCAAGUCUUCCUUGCACAGAUUACUGUCAAACCCAAGCACUUUAUUUAUAAAAAUGCCAACAUACUCUGAUUAUUUGGCGAAUAACCAUGCUGCUGUCAGUGUACAAACAGCACAUAGAGUAUAAAAACAAUCUCCAUUUUUAUCAUGGCUGUCACAGCUGGGAGGCUGUGGAACAAGGAUGCAUUGUUUGAGGGAAGGGCUGUAGAGGCAACAUUCAGGUCCUUUGGUGGCCUCCUGGGCAGAAAGACUGUGGUCACAUUUGGUAAACUGUUACAUGUUCUUUUACUGAAAAACAUUAGGCUUGCCAUAAAUUAGUUUCUGGGUUCAAUAUUGAGAUCUUGACAUACUGUUGCUUUUAGAUAAGCAUUCCCUGGCCUGCCUGUCUGUCUGCCUCUCUCUUCUCUAAUUCAUAGGCCGUCCAAAUGCCUACGUGCUUCCAUGGAACAGGAAGACAGACCCAGUGGCUGUGCAACCAAAGGAAAUCCAUCAUUCACUGAUGAAUUUCUAAUGACUUCAUAUUUUACUACCACAUGGAACUCCCAAAUAAAGCCUCUAGAAGGGAAACACACACCCAAUACUGGGGGAAGGAGGGGUAAAGAAGUGAUGGCCCUUUACUCAGCACUGGUUUCUGACCUCCUCAAGCUGGUUCCUUCUGGGUCAAGGUAGAUCCUAGGGAGGAUAACUCUCCUGGUUUCAGUAACAGUUGUGAAGCAUAUGUGUGAGUGCAUAUGAUGACUCUGCAUGUCUAAGGUCUAACAGAUUGGUCCCAGGAUAUUACAUGUUUUCCCUGGAAAACCAUUUCUUUUUUUCCUAAAAUGUGUUUCAUCAUUGUAUGAGCUGUUGCUGCUGCU
rnacentral:lncRNA from 1 species